rnacentral:rRNA from 1 species
UACGUAGGGUGCGAGCGUUGUCCGGAAUUAUUGGGCGUAAAGAGCUCGUAGGCGGCUUGUCGCGUCGGAUGUGAAAGCCCGGGGCUUAACUCCGGGUCUGCAUUCGAUACGGGCAGGCUAGAGUUCGGUAGGGGAGAUCGGAAUUCUGGUGUAGCGGUGAAAUGCGCAGAUAUCAGGAGGAACACCGGUGGCGAAGGCGGAUCUCUGGGCCGAUACUGACGCUGAGGAGCGAAAGCGUGGGGAGCGAACAGG